AGUGAACGCUGGCGGUAGGCCUAACACAUGCAAGUCGAACGGCAGCACAGUAAGAGCUUGCUCUUACGGGUGGCGAGUGGCGGACGGGUGAGGAAUACAUCGGAAUCUACUUUUUCGUGGGGGAUAACGUAGGGAAACUUACGCUAAUACCGCAUACGACCUACGGGUGAAAGCAGGGGAUCUUCGGACCUUGCGCGAUUGAAUGAGCCGAUGUCGGAUUAGCUAGUUGGCGGGGUAAAGGCCCACCAAGGCGACGAUCCGUAGCUGGUCUGAGAGGAUGAUCAGCCACACUGGAACUGAGACACGGUCCAGCCUCCUACGGGAGGCAGCAGUGGGGAAUAUUGGACAAUGGGCGCAAGCCUGAUCCAGCCAUACCGCGUGGGUGAAGAAGGCCUUCGGGUGGUAAAGCCCUUUUGUUGGGAAAAAAAAGCAGCAGGUUAAUACCCCGCUGUUCUGACGGUACCCAAAGAAUAAGCACCGGCUAACUUCGU
rnacentral:rRNA from 1 species